CACUGACAUUAGAUACCCGUGUAGUCCAGGGUGUAAACGCUGCAGACUUGGUGUUGGGAACCCUUCGGGGGUGCUCAGUGCCGGAGAGAAGUUGUUAAGUCUGCUACUUGGGGAGUACGUCCGCAAGGAUGAAACUUAAAGGAAUUGGCGGGGGAGCACCGCAACGGGAGGAGCGUGCGGUUUAAUUGGAUUCAACGACCGAAAAACUCACCAGCAGCGACUGUUACAUGAAAGUCAGGUUGAUGACCUUACUAGAUUUUCAG
rnacentral:rRNA from 1 species